UCCCACAUGGUCUAGGGGUUAGGAUUUCGGAUUUUCACUCCGACGGCCCGGGUUCGAUUCCCGGUGUGGGAG
rfam:Oikopleura dioica, whole genome shotgun assembly, reference scaffold set, scaffold scaffold_4